rnacentral:rRNA from 1 species
AUUGAACGCUGGCGGCAGGCCUAACACAUGCAAGUCGAACGGUAGCACAGAGAGCUUGCUCUCGGGUGACGAGUGGCGGACGGGUGAGUAACGUCUGGGAAACUGCCCGAUGGAGGGGGUUAACUACUGGAAACGGUAGCUAAUACCGCAUAACGUCGCAAGACCAAAGAGGGGGAACUUCGGGCCUCACACCAUCGGAUGUGCCCAGAUGGGAUUAGCUAGUAGGUGGGGUAAUGGCUCACCUAGGCGACGAUCCCUAGCUGGUCUGAGAGGAUGACCAGCCGCACUGGAACUGAGACACGGUCCAGACUCCUACGUGAGGCAGCAGUGGGGAAUAUUGCACAAUGGUCGCAAGCCUGAUGCAGCCAUGCCGCGUGUAUGAAGAAGGCCUUCGGGUUGUAAAGUACUUUCAGCGGGGAGGAAGGCAGUGAAGUUAAUAGCUUCACCGAUUGACGUUACCCGCAGAAGAAGCACCGGCUAACUCCGUGCCAGCAGCCGCGGUAA